UACGUAGGGUGCGAGCGUUGUCCGGAAUUAUUGGGCGUAAAGGGCUCGUAGGCGGUCUGUCACGUCGGGAGUGAAAACUCAGGGCCUAACCCUGAGCCUGCUUCCGAUACGGGCAGACUAGAGGUAUGCAGGGGAGAACGGAAUUCCUGGUGUAGCGGUGAAAUGCGCAGAUAUCAGGAGGAACACCAAUAGCGAAGGCAGCUCGCUGGGACGGUACUGACGCUAAGGCGCGAAAGCGUGGGGAGCGAACGAGG
rnacentral:rRNA from 1 species